rnacentral:rRNA from 1 species
CAAUAGCGUAUAUUAAAGUUGUUGCAGUUAAAAAGCUCGUAGUUGGAUUUGUGGCGUACGGUGGGUUCCGGGCACUUGUUGUCUGAGUAACUUGCUGUAGCCAUCCUUGGGUGGAACCUGUGUGGCAUUAGGUUGUCGUGCAGGGGGUGCCCAUCAUUUACUGUGAAAAAAUUAGAGUGUUCAAAGCAGGCUUAUGCCGUUGAAUAUAUUAGCAUGGAAUAAUGAGAUAGGACUUUUUUGCUAUUUUGUUGGUUUGCGCAAAGAGGUAAUGAUUAAUAGGGACAGUUGGGGGUAUUCGUAUUCCAUUGUCAGAGGUGAAAUUCUUGGAUUUUUGGAAGACGAACUACUGCGAAAGCAUUUACCAAGGAUGUUUUCAUUAA